rnacentral:rRNA from 1 species
AUUGAACGCUGGCGGCAGGCCUAACACAUGCAAGUCGAGCGGAUGAAGGGAGCUUGCUCCUGGAUUCAGCGGCGGACGGGUGAGUAAUGCCUAGGAAUCUGCCUGGUAGUGGGGGAUAACGUCCGGAAACGGGCGCUAAUACCGCAUACGUCCUGAGGGAGAAAGUGGGGGAACUUCGGACCUCACGCUAUCAGAUGAGCCUAGGUCGGAUUAGCUAGUUGGUGGGGUAAAGGCCUACCAAGGCGACGAUCCGUAACUGGUCUGAGAGGAUGAUCAGUCACACUGGGACUGAGACACGGUCCAGACUCCUACGGGAGGCAGCAGUGGGGAAUAUUGGACAAUGGGCGAAAGCCUGAUCCAGCCAUGCCGCGUGUGUGAAGAAGGUCUUCGGAUUGUAAAGCACUUUAAGUUGGGAGGAAGGGCAGUAAGUUAAUACCUUGCUGUUUUGACGUUACCAACAGAAUAAGCACCGGCUAACUUCGUG